rnacentral:rRNA from 1 species
UGUCUUUAGGAUAAAAAUUUAAAGUCCAAUCUGCUCACUGAGAUUUAAAGAGCCGCAGUAUUUUGACUGUGCAAAGGUAGCAUAAUCAAUAGUUUUUUAAUUGAAAACUGGAAUGAAAGAUUAGACGAAAUGUUAGCUUUCUUUAUUUUACUAAGUUGAAUUUAAAAUUUGAGUCAAAAUGCUUAAAUACUUUUAAAAGACGAGAAGACCCUAUAGAUUUUUAUUGUUAGUCGUUUUAGAAAUAAGAGGUAAAUUCUAUUAACAAUUUAAUUGGGGCGAUGCUGUAAUAUAAUAAACUUAAGGCGAUAAAACCAGAAAUUCUUGAAUUCAAGAUCUGAAAUUUUCAAAUGAAAGAUUAAAUUACCUUAGGGAUAACAGCGUAAUUUUAUUUAAGAGUUCAUAUCUAUAAUAAAGGUUGCGACCUCGAUGUUGAAUUAAGAAAUAUAUUGGAGUAGAAAUUAAUAAAAAUUAGUCUGUUCGACUAUUAAAUUC